rnacentral:rRNA from 1 species
UACGUAGGGGGCUAGCGUUGUCCGGAAUCAUUGGGCGUAAAGCGCGUGUAGGCGGUUCGGUAAGUCCGCUGUGAAAGUCGGGGGCUCAACCCUCGAAUGCCGGUGGAUACUGUCGGGCUAGAGUGCGGAAGAGGCGAGUGGAAUUCCCGGUGUAGCGGUGAAAUGCGCAGAUAUCGGGAGGAACACCAAUGGCGAAGGCAGCUUGCUGGGACGGUACUGACGCUGAGGCGCGAAAGCGUGGGGAGCAAACAGG